UACGAAGGGGGCUAGCGUUGUUCGGAAUUACUGGGCGUAAAGCGCACGUAGGCGGAUACUUAAGUCAGGGGUGAAAUCCCGGGGCUCAACCCCGGAACUGCCUUUGAUACUGGGUAUCUCGAGUCCGGAAGAGGUGAGUGGAAUUCCGAGUGUAGAGGUGAAAUUCGUAGAUAUUCGGAAGAACACCAGUGGCGAAGGCGACUGACUGGACAAGUAUUGACGCUGAGGUGCGAAAGCGUGGGGAGCAAACAGG
rnacentral:rRNA from 1 species